AUUGAACGCUGGCGGCAGGCUUAACACAUGCAAGUCGAGCGGAGAUGAGGUGCUUGCACCUUAUCUUAGCGGCGGACGGGUGAGUAAUGCUUAGGAAUCUGCCUAUUAGUGGGGGACAACAUUCCGAAAGGAAUGCCAAUACCGCAUACGUCCUACGGGAGAAAGCAGGGGAUCUUCGGACCUUGCGCUAAUAGAUGAGCCUAAGUCGGAUUAGCUAGUUGGUGGGGUAAAGGCCUACCAAGGCGACGAUCUGUAGCGGGUCUGAGAGGAUGAUCCGCCACACUGGGACUGAGACACGGCCCAGACUCCUACGGGAGGCAGCAGUGGGGAAUAUUGGACAAUGGGGGGAACCCUGAUCUAGCCAUGCCGCGUGUGUGAAGAAGGCCUUAUGGUUGUAAAGCACUUUAAGCGAGGAGGAGGCUACUGAGACUAAUACUCUUAGAUAGUGGACGUUACUCGCAGAAUAAGCACCGGCUAACUCUGUGCCAGCAGCCGCCGUAA
rnacentral:rRNA from 1 species